GACGAACGCUGGCGGCGUGCCUAAUACAUGCCAGUCGAGCGAUGAAGAUUGGUGCUUGCACCAAUUUGAAGAGCAGCGAACGGGUGAGUAACGCGUGGGGAAUCUGCCUUUGAGCGGGGGACAACAUUUGGAAACGAAUGCUAAUACCGCAUAACAUCUUUAAACAUAAGUUUUAAGUUUGAAAGAUGCAAUUGCAUCACUCAAAGAUGAUCCCGCGUUGUAUUAGCUAGUUGGUGAGGUAAAGGCUCACCAAGGCGAUGAUACAUAGCCGACCUGAGAGGGUGAUCGGCCACAAUGGGACUGGGACACGGCCCAAACUGCUAAGGGAGGGAGCAAGAGGGAAACUUGGGCAAGGGACGAAAGUCUGACCGAGCAACGCCGCGGGAGUGAAGAAGGGUUUCGGAUCGGAAAACUCUGUUGGUAGGGAAGAACGUUGGGGAGAGUGGAAAGCUCAUCAAGUGACGGUAACUACCCAGAAAGGAACGGCUAACUACGUG
rnacentral:rRNA from 1 species